rnacentral:tRNA from 1 species
GCCUGGGUGGCUUAGUCGGUUAAGUGUCUGACUUCAGCUCAGAUCAUGAUCUUGUAGUUCAUGGGUUUGGGUCCUGAGUCAGGCU